AUUGAACGCUGGCGGCAUGCCUUACACAUGCAAGUCGAACGGCAGCACGGGGCAACCUGGUGGCGAGUGGCGAACGGGUGAGUAAUGCAUCGGAACGUGCCAUUGAGUGGGGGAUAACGUAGCGAAAGUUGCGCUAAUACCGCAUAUUCUGUGAGCAGGAAAGCAGGGGGACCGCAAGGCCUUGCGCUCUUUGAGCGGCCGAUGUCAGAUUAGCUAGUUGGUGAGGUAAAGGCUUACCAAGGCGACGAUCUGUAGCGGGUCUGAGAGGAUGAUCCGCCACACUGGAACUGAGACACGGUCCAGACUCCUACGGGAGGCAGCAGUGGGGAAUUUUGGACAAUGGGCGCAAGCCUGAUCCAGCCAUGCCGCGUGAGUGAAGAAGGCCUC
rnacentral:rRNA from 1 species